rnacentral:rRNA from 1 species
UACAGGGGGGGCAAGCGUUGUUCGGAAUUACUGGGCGUAAAGGGCCAGUAGGCGGCCAACUAAGUCCGACGUGAAAUCCCAAAGCUUAACUUUGGAACUGCGUCGGAUACUGGAUGGCUUGAAUUCGGGAGAGGAAUGUGGAAUUCCAGGUGUAGCGGUGAAAUGCGUAGAUAUCCGGAGGAACACCGGUGGCGAAGGCGGCUUCCUGGACCGACACUGACGCUGAGGCGCGAAAGCUAGGGGAGCAAACGGG